rnacentral:rRNA from 1 species
CAAGAGCGUAUAUUAAAGUUGUUGCAGUUAAAAAGCUCGUAGUUGGAUUUCUGGUACAACGCGCCUGGCCCGCUUACGUGAGUGCCGGUGCGCGUUUGCCAUCCUUCUAGAAAACGUCUCUACUCGGGCAACUGAGCCGGAUUCGCGAUCUAGAUCUUUUACUUUGAAAAAUUAGAGUGUUUAAAGCAGGCUAUUGCCUUGAAUACAUUAGCAUGGAAUAAUGGAAAAGGACUUCAACCUCUUCUGUUGGUCUGAGAGGCUGUAGUAAUGAUUAAUAGGGAUAGUUGGGGGCAUUAGUACUUAACUGUCAGAGGUGAAAUUCUCCGAUUUGUUAAAGACUAACUUAUGCGAAAGCAUUUGCCAAGGAUGUUUUCAUUAAUCAAGAACGAAAGUUAGGGGAUCAAAGACGAUCAGAUACCAU